ACUGGGGCGCUAUGGUGCCUGGAGCUGGGCAGUUUUCUCGUCAGAGUGGGGACUGGUAAGAGCGACCUCCCCGCCAGGUCCUGUGUGUUGCCGGCUGAAGAAGGGUAGCUGAAAAAUUCAGACCCAGCACAGUGUUUAUGUUGGUCAAAAAUAGAAAACUAUGUCUGGCGCGGCCGAGGCGGGAGGACCCUUCAGGCCAAGAGCAGCGUAGCAACAUGGCGCAACCCCAUCUCUGUAGUCCUACCUCAGCCCCCCAGCUACUUGAACCCAAAGGUUCAAGGCUCCAGUGAGCUAUGAUCCCACCACAGCAUUCCAGCCUGCGAGAUUGAGAUGAUGAUUAUUCCCCACCUUCUAAGAGACAAAGACCAACGAGCCACCACAGCCACCAGUCCCAGAACCCGCCAAUGCUGGGGAACGGAAAAUGAGGGAGUUCAACUCUGAGAAAUGGAAUCAUCGUAUCGCUGAUCUACGUAAACAAACUGAAGAAUUGUCUGAAAGAAAAUAUGGUAUGUCUAAACUGGAAAAGUCCUGUAAUCUUAUGUUCAUGGGCGUUUACACAAUGGAGUUACUGUUCAUCAUGGGGGUACCGUGGACAAGCCCAGGGCUGCCGGUGAGUCAUGCCAUCCUUACACGUUUCUCCUUGUAAGACAUGAACUUAUGAAUUCAACAGGUGAAGAUUUACAACUUGAUAAAUCAACUUUGUGAGCUCGAGCUGUAAAAGCCAAAGGUCUGGUGAUGAUCCCAUACCCUUUUUUCCAGUCUCAUGUUGAAGAUUUUUAUGUAGAAGGCCUUCCCAAAGGAAUUUUUUUUUUUUUUUUUUUUUGAGAUGGAGUUUUCACUCUUAUCGCCCAGGCUGGGGUGCAAUGGCGCAACCUUGCUGGUCACUGCAACCUCUGCCUCCUGGGUUCAAGAAAUUCUCCUGCCUUAGCCUCCCAAGUCGCUGGGAUUAUAGGUGCCCACCACCACACCAGGCUAAUUUUUGUAUUUUUAGUGGAGAUGGGGUUUCACCAUGUUGGCCGGGCCAGUCUCGAACUCCUGAUGUCAAGUGAUCUUCCCGCCUCGACUCCUGACAUCAAGUGAUCUUCCCGCCUCGGCCUCCCAGAGUGCUGAGAUUACAGACGUGAACCCAUGCCUGGCCAGGAAUUUUGUUUUUUAGGAAGGCUUUCUACUAAUGGAAUUCCUGGCCUUGAGAGGAUGUUACUUUCGAAGGAAAGGAUUUUUUUGUUAUUAAAAGAGCCACCUAAGCUGAAGAUUCCCUUGAGAACAAGUACUGUCCUGCGGUUUCAUGGCCUUUCUUCCAUUUGUGGUUCUUGUGAAGUGGAAUUUAAAUGACAUCUUAUCAAGAUGGAUAAACCCUAGUUUCCCAGUGCUGGAAUAUAGAAAAUGGAUGGACAAGUAAAUCCCACUCAGCACCCAUAGUCCAGGCAUGGGGACCUCAACACACCUGAGCACCAGACAUCACCUUUCAUUCUGGACCUACCAUGAAAGACUUCUGAAUCCAGGAAGAGAAACUGACUGGGCAACAUGUUAUUCAGAGAUGGGACCUCAGUAUGUUGCCACGGCUGACCUUGAACUCCUGCACUCAAGGGAUUUUCCUACCCUGGCCUCCCAAAGUAUUGGUAUUACAGGCAUGAGCCAUUGUGCCCACCGUCUCUGGUUCUUAACCUUCUGCCUCCCUCUUCCAGUUUUAAAGAAUGCUUGUAAUUACAUGGGCUCUCCUAGAUACUCCAGGAUAAUCUUGUUUUAAGGUCAGCUGAUGAGCAACAUUAAUUUUAUCUGCACUAUUAAUUCCCCCUUCCUAUGUAAUUGUGCUGUGUAACAUAGGACAUGAGCAAUUGGUGGCGGUGGGGGUUAUUACUUUGGCCACCACAGUAACUAUUUUAUGCCAGGUACUCAGCUAAGCACUGGUGAAUUAAGCAUGAAUAACACACACUCCCUAAUCUCCAUCCAUUCAUGGGAGGAGCACUUCACCUGCCAUGCUCCUGAGAAUCUCGGGAGUCAGAGAAGUCUUCUAUGAGGAGGUGAUGCCAAAGCGGACAAGUGACAGAGGAGUCAAAGCUAGCUAGGAAGGGAGUAGAGGUUUAAGGGGAAGCAUAUUAUAAGCAGAGGAUAUUACCCACUUCAGAGACUCCCAGAGGAGAAAGAGUGUGCGUUCAAGAGGCAGAUGAGGCUCAGUUGGACUCCAUAGCAGAUGAAAUGGAGAGGGGCAAGCAGUGAGGCUGCCUUGCAAGGCAGGGCAGAGCAGGGGCUGUUAAGGAGUUUGGACUUAAUCCCUGAGGCAAGGAGAAGUGAUGUAAAUGGAGGAGUAACAUGAUGAGAUUCAUGGAUUAGAGACAUGGCUCAGGCUGCUGUAGAGAAGGCACCAGGGAGAGCAGAUGGCUCAAUGGGUGUGCAGGAGACCUCUCCCUGAGUUUAGGGAGAGGUUUUUAAAACAGAAGAAGUUUGAGUAAUUUAAAUGAUGAUGGGAAGGAGCUAAAAGUGGGGGAUAGGUUAAAGAUACAGGAAAGCAGGAGGAAGAACUGACAAGUGAGGUUCCAGAGAGGGCAGGAGAAGAGGAGAUUCCCAUAGGGGGAUUAACACUUUCUUUUCUUUUUUCUUUCUAAGACAGGGUCUCACUCUGUCGCCCAGGCUGGAGUGCAGUGGCACAAUCUUGGCUCACUGUAGUGUAGACUUCCCAGGCUCAAGGGAUUUCUCCCACCCCAGACUCCCAAGUAGCUGGAACUAUGGGUGUGCACCACCACCACACCUGGCUAAUGUCUCUUUUUUUUGGUAGACACAGAGUCUCACUAUUUAGCACUGAUUGGUCUCCAACUCCUGGCCUCAAGCGAUCCUCCUGCCUAGGCUUCCCAAAUUGCUGGGAUUACAGGCAUGAGCCACAAUGCCUGGCCUCUGCUAGUUCCGUAUUCUCUAGAGUUGUCUUUACUUUGUGCUAGUGUGUCCCUCAUUGUGCUGAUCCUCUGUAAAAAUUAAUACCUUUUUUUUUUUUUUUUUUUUUGAGAUGGAGUUUCACUCUUGUUGCCCAGGCUGGAGUGCAAUGGCACUAUCUCGGCUCAGCGCAACCUCCACCUGCCGGGUUCAAGCGAUUCUCCUGCCUCAGCCUCCCGAGUAGUUGGGAUUACAGGCAUGUGCCACCAUGCCCAGCUGAUUUUGUAUAUUUAGUAGAGAUGGGGUUUCUCUAUGCUGGUCAGGCUGGUCUCGAACUCCUGACCUCAGGUGAUCUGUCUGCCUUGGCCUCCCAAAGUGCUGGGAUUACAGGCAUGAGCCAUUUUGCCUGGCCAAAAUUAAUACUUUUUAUAUUAAAUUUACAUAUAUAUAUAUAUAUAUAUGUUUUUUCUUUUUGAUACCGGGUCUCACACUGUCACCCAGGCUGGAGUACAGUGGCACAACCUCUGCUCACUGCAGCCUCCACCUGCCAGGCUCAAGCAAUGCUCCUGCCUCAGCCUCCCGAGUAGCUGGGAUUACAGGUAAGUGCCACCACACCCAGCUGAUUUUUGUGUUUUUUGUAGAGACGAGGUUUCGCCAUGUUUCCCAGACUGUUCUCAAACUCCUGAGCUCAAAGCAGUCCACCCACCUUGGCCUCCCAGAGUGCUGGGAUUACAGGUGUGAGCCAUCUUGCUCAUUCUAGUUUAAACUUUUGAGUAGUUUGUGUCUCCUGAUUGGACUCCUACAAAUACAGAAUUGAUGCUAGGAAGGGUACCAGGAGAUAGACGCACACAGAUGGGAUUUGGGAAUAGGUUUGGUUAUCCAAGGAGCAGUGCUGAGCUCCUUGCUAAUGGGAUAUGGGAUGCUGGUGAUUUCCAGGAAGUGAGCUCACAAUGACUCAAGCUGCCACAUAGUGUUGAUUGUGAAAUGCCAGUUGAAGCAUAUGUCCUGCGAGCUUGGGGGUGCUACAAGUUGACCACUGCAGCAGUAAAGAUGACUCUGAAGAAUGGCGUGGGAUGGAUCCUUUCAAAUGCACUUGAGCAGCAGUCUCCAACCACAGGGCCACAGAGCUGGAGCUGGAUCUACCAUGAAAGACUUCUGAAUCCAGGAAGAGAGACUGACUGGGCAACAUGUUAUUCAGGGUCUCCCUCUGUUGUCCAAGGCUGGAGUGUAGUAGUGCUAUCACAGCUGACUGCAGCCUCAACCUUCUAGGCUGAAGCGAUCCUCCCAUCUCAACCUCCCACGUGGCUGAGACUACAGGUGCUUGCCACUAUGCCCAACUAAUAUUUGGAAUUUUCGUAUACGUGGAUUCCAGAGGGGUGACAGCGAAAUGUGACCUCACAGUGACUCAAGCUACCACUUACUGUUGAUUGUGACGAAAUGCCAGCUGAGGCACAUGCCUUGGGAGCUAAGUGGUUGCUGCACUUGACCACUGUGAAGACUGGUGUGGGAAGAAGGGUCGUUUCUGAUGCACUUGAGCAGGGGUCCCCAACCCCUGAGCCAUGGAGCCGCAAGGAGCCACACAGCAGGAGGUGAGUGGUGUCGAGUGAGGGAGUGAGGAAAGCUUCGUCUGUAUUUACAGCCACUCCCCUUUGCUCACAUUCCCGCCUGAGCUCCACCUUCUCAGAUCAGCAGCAGCAUUAGAUUCUCAUAGAACGCACCCUGUUGUGAACCGUGCAUGUGAGGGAUCUAGGUUGCGCUGUCCUUAAUGAGAGUCUAAUACCUAUUGAUCUGUCACUUCCUCCCAUCACGCUCAGGUGGGACCAUCCAGUUGCAGGAAAACAAGCUUAACACGCCCACUGAUUCUACAUUAUGCUCCUACCUCCCGGCAGCCUCUCCAGGCCCAGAACUUUCUCCAGUCAGCCUCUACAGACCAAGCUCAUGACUCACAAUGGCCUAUUUAGGCCCAUACCCUACCUCACGGCAGUCUCCGCAGAUGAGCCUACUGCCUCACAACAGCCUCCACAGGCACAGCUCCAUCGUUACAAUGGCCUCUUUAGACCCAGCUCCUGCCUCCCAGCCUUCUCUCCAGGCCCUGAACUUUCUCAAGUCGACCUCACCAGGCCCAGCUCAUGCUUCUUUGCAGCCUCUCCAGGCCCAACUCCUGCAUCUUGGUGGCCCCUCCAGGCCCAGCCUGUGCCUCCCGUCGGCCUCUACAAUCCCAACAUCUGCCUCACAGCAGAUUCUUCACGCCCAGCCUCUGCCUCACAGUGGACCCUCCAGACCCAGAUGGUGUCUCACUGUGGCAUCCUCAGGCGAAGCUCCUGCCUUUCAGCAGCCUCUCCAGGCCCAGCUCCUCCUGCCUCCCAGUGGCCUCUUUCGGCCCAGCCCAGCUCAUGCCUCCCGGCGGCCUUCCCAAGCCCCGCUUUUGACUUUUGGUGGCCUCUGCAGGCCUCGACAAGGCCCAGCCUCCUGCCUCCCGAAGGCCUGCACAGGCCCAGCCUCUGCCUCACAGCGGACUCUCCACGCCCAGCUAGCUCUCGCCUCACUGCGGCCUCCCCAGUCCAAAGCUCCUGCCUUUCGGCCACUUCGGCAGGUCCAGCUACUGCCUGCCAGUGGCCUCUUUAGGCCCAGCUCAUUCCUCACAACGGCCUUUCCAGGCCCCGUUUUUCCCUUCCGGCAGCCUCUUGGCUUCUAAUUUGUUUAUCUUUUGUGUAUAAAUCCCAAAAUAUGGAAUUUUGGAAUAUUUCCACCAUUAUAUAUUUUGGUCGGUAAUUUAUUUGGAGUGAGUUUCUGCACCAUGCCCGAAUUUUUUAUUUUAUUUUCCUUAUUAUUUGGUGUUAAACAGGUUUAAUGACAGUCAUGGCAACUUUUUGGCACAAUGAAAAAUAUCGCCCAUGAUCAACGUGUUCUGUUCUGGGGAAGGGGGCAAAGGCAGGGUGAAUCACUUUCUUAAAAAGUAUAGCUCAAGUUGGGAGUGCAGAGGGAAUGGGGAGAAAACCCUCCCGCUGCCUGUGUCGAAGUGCAGGAGCCCCCACCCCCAUACUCACCUGAGUCCAGCCCCUCUGGGGAAAGAAGGGGUGCAUGAACUCCCCCUAGUCCACAGGCGCCUCCCUGUGGCCCAAGGCCCUCUUCACACUCCAUCUUGUAGCCCCAGCAGGAGCUAUUUUCUGAAAAGUGAAAAGCUCUGAAGGUCCCACAAUUCAUGGUAUGUACAGGGGCUCGGAGGAGGGAAACUGCCCAGCUUUCCCCCGGCACAGCUGCAGGGGUAGGGGGUAUAGAUAAGAGGAGCAGGCCUUGGCCAGGCGUGGUGGCUCACGCCUGUAAUCCCAGCACUUUGGGAGGGGGAGGCAGGCAGAUCACGAUGUCAGGAGAUCGAAAUCAGCCUGGCCAAGAUGAUGAAGCCCCGUCUGUACUAAAAAUACAAAAAUUAGCCGGACGUGGUAGUGUGCACCUGUAAUCCUAGCUACCCGGAAGGCUGAGGCAGGAGAAUGGCGUGA
rnacentral:lncRNA from 1 species